ACACGAGAGAAAGAAAGCAGAACCUUGGUUCGCACUGCACAAUGUGCAACUGCAGUUAUUCUAUUCUUUUCCAAUGUUCAAGUAACCCUCAUAUGCGCUCUUAGUGUAAGUUAUGCAGUCUUGGUUUUGCAUGCUUCGUUCAGAAAACAAUCUACACGAAGUGACAGAAACAGGAGGAGCAGUAAAAGAUGAGGAGAAACGAUGAAGUGUUGAAGAUUACUAUCGGUACAUUGUAGAUGGCCAGACUGCCCGAACCAUAUCUGCUUGCCGAACCUAUUAGCUAUAUGUCCUGCAGAUACUAGUGUCCAAUUUUAUCAAAUCACAAACUAGGUUCGAUUCAUCUGUUCUUUUCUACCUCUCUCUUC